GCCGGGCACUACGGCAAGACGUGAAACACCCGAUCCCAUUCCGAUCUCGAUCUGUGAAACCGUCUUGCGCCAUAUGCACUGCUAAAGCGGGAGACAUGGUCAAAGCCAGGUC
rfam:Picea glauca, whole genome shotgun sequence.